GAUGAACGCUGGCGAAAUGCUUUACACAUGCAAGUCGUACGAAAGCUUUUAGCUUAAGUGGCGGACGGGUGAGUAAUACGUAAGAAUUUGCCUUUAGGAGGGGGAUAACAGCUGGAAACGGUUGCUAAUACCCCAUAUGCUUUUAAGUGAAAUGGGUUUCCGCCUAAAGAAAAGCUUACGGCUGAUUAGCUUGUUGGUAAGGUAAUGGCUUACCAAGGCGACAAUCAGUAUCUGGUUUGAGAGGAUGAUCAGACACACUGGAACUGAGACACGGUCCAGACUCCUACGGGAGGCAGCAGUGGGGAAUUUUCCGCAAUGGGCGCAAGCCUGACGGAGCAAUUUCGCGUGAAGGAUGACGGCCUAUGGGUUGUAAACUUCUUUUUUCAGGGUAGGAAUAAAAUGACGUGUACCUGAAGAAUAAGCAUCGGCUAACUCCGUGCCAGCCGCCGCGGUAAU
rnacentral:rRNA from 1 species